UUGUUCGUAGAAAGGAGAGAUGGCUGGCAUCUCCCCCGAUAGGGACAGGAACAGCCUUCGGACUUUACCUUUUUUU
rnacentral:ncRNA from 1 species